UCAUAAAUUGUUUUGCAACAGAAGUCGUGUGUGAGUGCACAGUUUAUUUACUGGGCGGGCAAGUAAUCGAAUGAACGUCGGUUGUGCACGCUUUGAGCCUACACAGCGGGUAGUGAUUUAUCGCGAUUCAGUAGACGGCGUCUGAGAGUUGCAGGGCCAAUCAGUGCGGGCGGCGACGGCGGCGCGGGUACCGUUAGCGCGCGCCUGUGCCGGCCGCGCGGUACCCACAUCAGACCAUGCAGCCUACUUAACCCUUAAUUUGGAAAUGUAUCUUUAAAGAUACAACAACUUUUAAAAAAUCUGUAACAUUAAAUAAUUGUGUUUUUUUGAAUCGAUCGAUUUAAUUAUAAAGUUUGACUCAUGACAUCACUAGGAAAAGUAAGUCUAUUGCAUUUUCAACAACUGGACAUCCCGAUUUACGUCAACCUGAAAAAAUGACGGUCGCGAAGAACAACAAAGCUGUAUUAAAACGAGCAAGAUCAAAGCGCAUUCUAGCGUUGAUUCCUGCAGGAAAUGCACGAUCGGACGACAGUGACACAACAGACAAUGAGGAAGAUAACACAGCCAGUGACACAACAUUGCCAGUUUAUGGAAUACAACAUGAUUCUUAUAGUAGUUCCUCAACACCUUCACUGGAUUCGGAUAAAAUAUAAUGUGAGAUUAUGUCUAACUAAACAACGGAACUGUUUUUACGAUUUUCAUGAAAAAAAAAUAAAUUUUCUUACCAAUUAACUAUUUUAUUUUAUAACCCCGAUUUGGUAAUGUAUCCUUUUGGAUACACUAUCGAAAAACUAUACCUUCCUCCGUAUUUGGCAAUGUGUAAAAUAAGAUACAUAUUAUUUCAGCGCAAUUACUGAAAAAAAAAUUUUUUGAAUAUUUUUCUCUAUUUCCUUAUACCUCAAAUAAUUAGACUACAGUAUUUUUUUUAUAAAAUUUGAUAAAGAUUAUGCUUGCCAAAUUAAGGGUUAA